CCUACGUGAGGCAGCAGUGGGGAAUAUUGGGCAAUGUGCGCAAGCCUGACCCAGCAACGCCGCGUGAAGGAAGAAGGCUUUCGGUUUGUAAACUUCUUUUCUUGGGGACGAAGAAAGUGACGGUACCCAAGGAAUAAGCCCCGGCUAACUACUUGCAGGCAGCCGCGUUAAUACGUAGGUGGCAAGCGUUAUCCGGAUUUAUUGUGUGUAAAGGCCGUGUAGGCGGGAGUGCAAGUCAGAUGUGAAAACCACGGGCUCAACCUGUGGCCUGCAUGUGAAACUGUAGUUCUGGAGUGCUGGAGAGGCAAUUGGAAUUCCGUGUGUAGCGGUGAAAUGCGUAGAUAUACGGAGGAACACCAGUGGCGAAGGCGGAUUGCUGGACAGUAACUGACGCUGAGGCGCGAAAGCGUGGGGAGCAAACAGGAUUAGAUACCCGGGUAGUC
rnacentral:rRNA from 1 species